rnacentral:misc_RNA from 1 species
UUUUCAGUUUCGUUUUCAACGUGCGCGCGCCAACACACUAGACAGCCCCGAAAACCCCGAGAGUAAAUUGGAAAUUUCGAAAAGCCCCCGCAGAACAGCGAGUAUCCAAAAAAAGAUCCCUAAUAUCCCCAGUAAAACCACCGAAAGAAACUAACGCCAAGAUGUCGCACUCAGUGACCAUUACACGUACCACCACCACCAGCACCACCAACACCUCGUACAUCGUGCUCAACACAGGCUACCUGAAGUCCUUUCCAGGAAUUCUAAAGCUCUUUGAGCUGAUCAUUGGAGCUGCUAUUGUGGGUAUCGUGGCCUACAACUAUCAGGGAUACCGCAACUACUUUUAUUCGGGACAGCAGGAUCUGUUCCUCUACCUGAUGGCCACCACGUUUAUGAUAGGGACGUUCUGCUUACUGCUCGCCUGCCUCACCUCCCUCAGCACGGGGGGCAUCAUCGCCAAGACGAUUUACGAGCUGAUCUACCACAGCGUCGCUGCCAUACUGAUCCUGGCCGCAUCCAUCUGCCUGCUGAUCCGGCUGCGCGAUGUCAAGCACGACGGCUACAUGGUGGCCGGUGUCUUGGGUCUGGUCAAUGCCGUUCUUUACUUCAUCAGUGCCUUCCUGGCCCAUCGGUCCUACCGCGGCAUCUAAGUGCCACCACCACCACCAGCAGCAUCAGCGUCCACUCCGCAGUCCCCACUACCCCAGUAUCCCACUACCCCACCAAUACCCAAACCCAUUUCAGCGAGUGUUCAAGUCGAAUCUGUAAUCUCGAAGCAUUUGUACGGCGUCGCCGCUUCCCAUAUAUACGCCAUAUAUACGAGUACGAGUAGUAUCCUCCUAUAGUAUAUAGGAGACGACGACAGAGGAGGAGAGAGAUAUGUAGAUAGAGGCAGGAGCGAGAGCGCGAACGAGAACGAGAAAAGGACUUUUCGGCUGUACUGUGGAACGUUCUUUGGCGCUAGUUACACUUACUUAUACUUACAUAUACAUAUACAACUUUUUUUGUCUCACUUUCUUUUAUACCAAACAACUUGUCAUUUAUUAUAUUCGAAUAAAGAUGUGUGUCUAUAUGUUUUUCUACAAA